GACGAACGCUGGCGGCGUGCUUAACACAUGCAAGUCGAACGGAAAGGCCCUGCUUUUGUGGGGUGCUCGAGUGGCGAAAGGGUGAGUAACACGUGAGUAACCUGCCCUUGUCUUUGGGAUAACUCCAGGAAACUGGGGCUAAUACCGGAUAUGAGCUCCUGCUGCAUGGUGGGGGUAGGAAAGUUUCGGCGGUUUGGGAUGGACUCGCGGCUUAUCCGCUUGUUGGGGGGGUAGGGGCUUACCAAGGCUUUGACGGGUAGCCGGCCUGGGAGGGUGACCAGCAACCUUAGGACUGAGAUACGGCCCAGACUCCUACGGGAGGCAGCAGUGGGGAAUAUUGCACAAUGGGCCGAAGCCUGAGGCGGCAACGCCGCGUGCGGGAUGACGGCCUUCGGGUGGUAAACCGCUUUCGCCUGUGACGAAGCGUGAGUGACGGUAAUGGGUAAAGAAGCACCGGCUAACUACGUG
rnacentral:rRNA from 1 species